UGUUAAAAUUUUCAUCCAUUUUUGCUGCUAAAAAUUGGUGUGGUUGACAAAAUAACCAAAUAGUUACAUGUAGCGUGCUACGUGUACCUCAUGUUGACGUAUAAGGCCAGUUUUUAAUAGUAAAAAUGGAUAAAAAUUUUAACA
rfam:Gossypium hirsutum cultivar TM-1 unplaced genomic scaffold scaffold783.1, whole genome shotgun sequence